rnacentral:rRNA from 1 species
CUGGGUGCCUUGAGCGGCGGUGUCACACCUCUUCCCAUCCCGAACAGAGCCGUGAAACCCGUCAGCGCCAAUGGUACUUGGGGUAAACUAACCCCCGGGAGAGUAGGCCGGUGCCCGGU